UUUACUUCAGCAGCAUAUUAUACUAAAAUUGGAAUGAUGCAGAGAUUAGCAUGACCACUGCAAAAAAUAAUACAUGCAAUUUCAUCAAAUUUUCCAUAUUUUU
ensembl:snRNA U6 U6 spliceosomal RNA